rnacentral:rRNA from 1 species
AGAGUUUGAUUAUGGCUCAGGAUGAACGCUGGCGGCGUGCUUAACACAUGCAAGUCGAACGGAGAUUAUACGCAGAGGCGAUUUCGGUCAAAUCAUGUAAAAUCUUAGUGGCGGACGGGUGAGUAACGCGUGGGUAACCUGCCUUACACUGGGGGAUAACACUUAGAAAUAGGUGCUAAUACCGCAUAAGCGCACGAAGCCGCAUGGAUUUGUGUGAAAAACUCCGGUGGUGUAAGAUGGACCCGCGUCUGAUUAGCUUGUUGGCGGGGUAACGGCCCACCAAGGCGACGAUCAGUAGCCGGCCUGAGAGGGUGGACGGCCACAUUGGGACUGAGACACGGCCCAAACUCCUACGGGAGGCAGCAGUGGGGGAUAUUGGACAAUGGGGGGAACCCUGAUCCAGCGACGCCGCGUGAGUGAAGAAGUAUUUCGGUAUGUAAAGCUCUGUCAGCAGGGAAGAAAGAAAUGACGGUACCUGACCAAGAAGCCCCGGCUAACUACGUGCCAGCAGCCGCGGUAAUACGUAGGGGGCAAGCGUUAUCCGGAAUUACUGGGUGUAAAGGGAGCG